rnacentral:misc_RNA from 1 species
GAUGAAGAACGUAGCGAAAUGCGAUACUUGGUGUGAAUUGCAGAAUCCCGUGAACCAUUGAGUCUUUGAACGCAAGUUGCGCCCGAAGCCAUUAGGCCGAGGGCACGCCUGCCUGGGCGUCACACGUCGUUGCCCCCCCAUCUACUCCUUCGGGAUUGCGGGGGGCGGAUGAUGGCCUCUCGUGCGCCUCGUCGCGCGGUUGGCCUAAAUGCCAAGUCCUCGGCGACGCACGCCACGACAAUCGGUGGUUGCGAAACCUCGGUUGCCUGUCGUGUGCGGUCGUCGCGCAUCGAGGGCUCGAAAAAAUUGCCGGGCUUCGGCUCGACUUUCAACGCGACCCCAGGUCAGGCGGGGUUACCCGCUGAAUUUAAGCAUAUCAAUAAGCGGAGGA